UACGUAGGGGGCUAGCGUUGUCCGGAAUCAUUGGGCGUAAAGAGCGUGUAGGCGGUCCGGUAAGUCCGCUGUGAAAGUCGGGGGCUCAACCCUCGAAUGCCGGUGGAUACUGUCGGGCUAGAGUGCGGAAGAGGCGAGUGGAAUUCCUGGUGUAGCGGUGAAAUGCGCAGAUAUCAGGAGGAAUACCUAUUGCGAAGGCAGCUCGCUGGGACGUAACUGACGCUGAGACGCGAAAGCGUGGGGAGCAAACAGG
rnacentral:rRNA from 1 species